rnacentral:lncRNA from 1 species
GGGGAGAAGGGAAGAAGUAAAAAGUCUCAGCCCAGGAAGACUCCAGACUGAAACAUUCCCACUCUCUCCAAGACUGUCUCAGAAGCAAGGAACAGUGCUUCCUGCUUCCCAGGACAAGCAGCUGAUAAGGUCACCGUAUUCAUGGUCUACUAGCUAUAGACUUCCUGAGAGGAAGAAGAUCCAGUCUGGCUGCAGUGGCUUUGACAAGCAGGUCUGCCAGCUGAUGCCUCACACAAGACCAUGGUACAGCCCUGAGCAGAGGACAGCCUAUAUAAAGUCAGUCCUCCAGAGCCCCACCAACCUCAGUCACUACAGUGUGUAACACCUGUCUAUACCUACCACUGACGAUGCUUGCAAGGACCCUGAAUGGACCUUAGGAUCCUGUGGAAAGGCCAGAAAAGCUGUGGCUGAAUAGCCUCUGAACAGGCUUGCAACUGUCCCUCACUGGUGUCCUUGACUCCUCCAAAAAGCUCAGCAGAGGACAACUGAAGGCCAAGCUGAGUCCAGUUUCCUGGACUAGAAUAGCCUAGCAGAAGGAACAGGCUCAGAAAGCUGGAGAGAACCAUCAUUACCUAUCAUAGCCUGGUUCCGGAACACCCGGGCUGAGUGGAGGUGCUGAGCUCUGAGAGAUGGAUCAAGCUAGGCCUGGAGGGAUUAAAGAAGGAACACAGGCCAACACCACAGCUCUGCUGGUAAAGCCAUUUGCUGCCAAGCCUGUGACUCAUCCCUGAGACCCACUGUCCCUGACCUCCAUGCCCACCCACCACCCCAGUGCGCGCACGCAC